rnacentral:rRNA from 1 species
UAGGGAAUCUUCGGCAAUGGGGGCAACCCUGACCGAGCAACGCCGCGUGAGUGAAGAAGGUUUUCGGAUCGUAAAGCUCUGUUGUAAGAGAAGAACGUGUGUGAGAGUGGAAAGUUCACACAGUGACGGUAACUUACCAGAAAGGGACGGCUAACUACGUGCCAGCAGCCGCGGUAAUACGUAGGUCCCGAGCGUUGUCCGGAUUUAUUGGGCGUAAAGCGAGCGCAGGCGGUUUAAUAAGUCUGAAGUUAAAGGCAGUGGCUUAACCAUUGUUAGCUUUGGAAACUGUUAAACUUGAGUGCAGAAGGGGAGAGUGGAAUUCCAGGUGUAGCGGUGAAAUGCGUAGAUAUAUGGAGGAACACCGGUGGCGAAAGCGGCUCUCUGGUCUGUAACUGACGCUGAGGCUCGAAAGCGUGGGGAGCAAACAGG